AAUCAACGCUGGCGGCGUGCCUCAGACAUGCAAGUCGAACGCGAAAGUCCCCUUCGGGGGAUGAUUAGAGUGGCGCACGGGUGAGUAACACGUAGGUAAUCUACCUUCGAGUGGGGAAUAACUCAGGGAAACUUGAGCUAAUACCGCAUAAUGCAGCGGCACCACAUGGUGACAGUUGUUAAAGCAUUUAUGCGCUUGAAGAGGAGCCUGCGGCGGAUAGCUAGUUGGUAAGGUAAUGGCUUACCAAGGCUACGAUCUGUAACCGGCCUGAGAGGGCGGACGGUCACACUGACACUGAAUAACGGGUCAGACUCCUAC
rnacentral:rRNA from 1 species